rnacentral:rRNA from 1 species
AAAGGGUGCGUAGGCGGCCUGUUAAGUCAGGGGUGAAAGACGGUAGCUCAACUAUCGCAGUGCCCUUGAUACUGAUGGGCUUGAAUGGACUAGAGGUAGGCGGAAUGAGACAAGUAGCGGUGAAAUGCAUAGAUAUGUCUCAGAACACCGAUUGCGAAGGCAGCUUACUAUGGUCUUAUUGACGCUGAGGCACGAAAGCGUGGGGAUCAAACAGGAUUAGAUACCCGUGU